rnacentral:tRNA from 1 species
GCUGGGGUGGUCUAGUGGUAUGAUUCUGGGACAGCAGGCCUGAAACCGGAGACGCCAGUUCGAAUCUGGCUCCCGGCA